UACGGAGGAUCCGAGCGUUAUCCGGAUUUAUUGGGUUUAAAGGGUGCGCAGGCGGGGGAUUAAGUCGGCGGUGAAAUUUUGCAGCUCAACUGUAAAAGUGCCUUCGAAACUGGUUUCCUUGAGUGUAGAUGAAGUAGGCGGAACUUGUGGUGUAGCGGUGAAAUGCUUAGAUAUCACGAGGAACUCCAAUUGCGCAGGCAGCUUACUAAACUACUACUGACGCUCAGGCACGAAGGCGUGGGGAUCAAACAGGAUUAGAUACCCGGGUAGUCCCUGA
rnacentral:rRNA from 1 species